GGAAAUCUCGCGAUGUCGGACCGGGUUAUAUAGUGAGUCGCAGGAGGGCGCCCAUUUCUCUUUCUCCAGUCGAAUGUGCGGAGUGGCUACGUUGAGACCCUGGAUAGUCCGAGAUGAUGCUUGCACUGAAGAAGCAGCUUCAGAUGUAUGGUGAAAUUCAUCUGCACCAUGUUAACCCAGUCAUCGAUCAGGGGUCAUUGGAGUGGAGUGAGGUGGGCUUCUGUUUAGAUGAAAUGCAACUUACAUGAAGUUCUUCUUUUAAGCUUGGGAUAUAGCAACCUAUUGAAAAGAUUGGUGCUUUCAGCUCAAGGUGCAAGCAAAGGGAAUAUCACUGGCAACAUCACAGGGUGACAAUCAUGAUCAGAAUUACUGAUGCAAUCUGGAUGUUGUGAUCCAGCUGUUGCCAUUUAAGUUGAAAUGCAUCAACUUGCUUUUGGUACAGGUGUUGGAAGAAGUUGUGUACUUGAAAUUCAACUGGUGUGAAGCUUUCUAAGAGUAUCCCUGAAUAAAGAUCUGCAGUUCCAGCAACAUCUGAUUUGUGGCCUGUUGUACAAAUAAACAAUGGAUGACGUGCCAUAUGCCUUUAUUUUUAUUUUAUAAUGUAUGGCUCUAGAAAUGCAGAACAGUUGAGUAUUUACACAUUACAAAUAUGAGUUAAAAUCCUGGAGAGUUGGCUGCAACAGGACCUCCCCAUCACAUGCUUGUUUGUUGCCAUCAAGGAGGAGGUACAGUACCCUAAAGACACACUCAUAAUAACUUCCUCGCUGCCAUCUCACUUUUGAAUCAACUGGUGUACACCACCUCACCUUGUAAUUGCACUAAAUUAAAUUAACAGAGGCCAACUGGGUGAUGUAUGUGAAGGGUAAACAUGGAACCUUAGCUGAUGGGAAUAUUUUGAGGCUCUGGCCAAGAAAAAGGAAGCAUGUGUUGGUUGUCAAGGACAACUAAUUUAAAAAUAGGCUUGAGAGUAUGAGAUGUAAUUAGCAGGUAAGGUUGAAGGAAAUCCCAAGAGGAUUUAUGAAAAGGGAAAGCUCGGUUCCUUUCAAUCAGCAGGACUGCUUGAUCAACAAAUGAUUAAAAUUUGCUCGCAGACGAAGAAUGUUUUCAAUAACCAGUGUCACUGUGAUCAUUGUUAAAUAAAAUUAGUUGAAAUAAUGUGCUGAGUCAUAAAGCCUUGAGUGGGGUUCUUGGUCCAAGCUAAGCUCAGCAGAGGGGUCAAAUACUUCAGCCCUGUGGCCAUGAUGGGGACCCUGGCCAACUCAGGAUUUGGGGGAAAAAAUGGAACUCAUGUUCAGGAAAUAAAGUUUAAAGUCAUUUCUCGUAUAUCUGGAUGUAUACUUAGUACAAAAUAACUUCCUUCAAGCUAAGUCUCCUGGCUUGAAUUCUAAUUGAACUUGUUGGGAACAAGCAAAUCUAAUCAAACUAUAACUUACAAGUGGAAUGCAGAGUGCAACUUAAAUGGAAUACAGCUUCAUGAGUGCAAAGAAUCAAGUGGAGUUGUGAUGGAGAGUGGGUGAAGAGCUUAUUGUCUGGGUAAAGAAAGUAAAUGAAAGGAAUGUACAAGAUUAGAUUGGAGAGGGUGGCCUGAGACACUGCAUAUUACAUUGCCAAUAAACAGGGCAAGAAAGGUCCUUUAGACAUUGGAGGGUUAGUGGAGGAUGUUAGAGUAGUGUUCUUGAGCUUAUUGUCUGUUCUGCAAGGGAAUAGAAUUACAAUUUUUAUCUCUUACAUCCAUUUCAACAUCUGGGAGUGAAAAUCUUCAUGUUGCAUCUUGCUAUGUGCAAUCAUCAAGGAAGGGAAAUGUGGGAGGAUAUUACCCAAACAGUUUAAGUUUGUGUAUGUGAGUGUUCUAAAUACGUGUAUGUGCAAUCAGAUCAAUGUGUAUUGAUAAAUCUGUUGGUUUGGUGAAAGAAGCUGUUCCAGAGCCUGUUGAUCCUGGCCGAUGGAAGUAGUUGAAACAGUUUGUGGUUUGAGUCCCCGAUGAUCCUUUUUAUGUACCUGCUGCUGUCAAUGCCCUGAAUAGAGGAAAGCUCACAUUCAUAAGCAGUACUGUCCCCUUGGAUUUUGCCUUUUCAAUCUAUUUGAAUCCCUGUUGGUCUCAUUUUAGAGGAACAGUUUUAUCUUGUACUAUUUGCUGACAAAUU